ensembl:lncRNA RNF217-AS1 RNF217 antisense RNA 1 (head to head)
UCGGGCAGGUCGCUCUCCACGCAGUACACGGAGCAGAAGACUUGUCUCUUGGCGAGGGACGGGCGCCGCUGACCCAGCACGUCCAGGACCAGUCCGUCGGCGGCCCCCACGCGGGUCCUGGGCUCCAGCUCUUCGCCGGGGGGCGCCUCCUGCUGUUCAUCCCCUCCCUCUUUUCGAUCCCCAGCUUCCUCCUCUUCCUCCUCCAGCUCCAACUGCAGUGGCAAGGUCUGGGGAUUGAGAGGCCCGGCAUGACUAAGAGAUAUCGUGAAAUUACAACUCAACAAUGAAUUACAGCACAGGCUUUUCACAACUAAGAGACUGUCCAUCAUGGUGCCAGUUUUUCUCAAAAUGGCAUGUGUGCAUGAAAUUCUACAGGCAUAUGGGGUCGUGAUCUGCUAAUCUCCAGUUAUUAUACAAAACUACAGAUACUUGAAAACAGAACCAAAUAAAAAUUCUAGCAGAAGAAGACAAUAUAUGAAAUUUAAUAAUUCAUUUCCUGGGAAUGACAGCAGAAAGGUGAUGACAGAGGAAAGAGCCAAUAAAAUUUGAAGACAGACUACUUUGAAAAGGGACUUUCCAGCUAUCAGUACACUAUCUCACAAUUACCCUUGAACCAGAAGACAAUGAAUGAUUUGCUAAACAGAUGGCAUAGUCUAUGACAUGCAUCAUAUGUGUGAGCAAUCACAGAAGACUCCUUCCUGUUGCCUUGUGAAGAAGGCUCCUGCUUCCCCUUCACCUUCUGCGCGAUUGUAAGUUUCCUGAGGCCUCCUAGCCAUGCUUCUUGUUCACUCUGCGGAACUGUCCUGAGCUGAAAAGAAUAUGAGAAAUCGGAUUUUACGACAUUGUGAAGAAACAUCCUGAAGUUAUUCACAGUGACUUCAAUGAACAACACAUCAGUAUACUUUUUACACAGGGGACAAAAGUAAAAGCCGGCUUGAUCAUUUACAAGGCUUUCACCAUGCCGCUGAGAUGUCAAGGACUACAAGUUGAUCUUCAGCCUCUUAAAAUAUGGCCUCGAAGCCUUUCAUGUCUUCAGUCAACUCCAGCAUUUUGACUGAUGGGAGCUGGUGUGUGUUUGUGUGCAGUGGGAGAGAGGACACAAUCCCGAACCUGACACAGCCUGUGCUUGGAGCAGCCUGCGCCUGCUGCCCUCAAUCAUUUAGACCAAAUUAUGAUUGUAUGUCCCAGAAAUUCACUUAGAAGCUAAUAGAAAAAAUGAAACCAAAGCCUUUUGGUAAGUAUUUUAAAAGAUUUAAUUGUAAUAAUUGAAAAUAUAGCAACCUUAGCGUUUAAUCUAUUACAUUCUGGAUUUCGGUUUCUGGGAAGUUGGAGCAAUGGGAAGGAUACCUUUCCCUAUCUUUCCUAUUAAGUAUAACUAAAAACUCUGAACAUUAUAUAUAUAACAAUUACAAGAAGACUUUGAGGCAGACC